rnacentral:rRNA from 1 species
AUACGGAGGGUGCAAGCGUUGUCCGGAUUUAUUGGGUUUAAAGGGUGCGUAGGUGGUUUUUUAAGUCAGUGGUGAAAGCCUACAGCUUAACUGUAGAGGUGCCAUUGAUACUGGGGAACUUGAGUAUGGACGAGGUAGGCGGAAUUUGUGGUGUAGCGGUGAAAUGCAUAGAUACCACAAGGAACACCGAUAGCGAAGGCAGCUUACUGGGCCAUAACUGACACUGAGGCACGAAAGCGUGGGGAGCGAACAGGAUUAGAUACCCGAGUAGUCC